UACGGAGGGUGCAAGCGUUAUCCGGAAUCACUGGGUUUAAAGGGUGCGUAGGCGGUGAGAUAAGUCCGGUGUGAAAGUCACAGGCUCAACCUGUGAAUGCCGCUGGAAACUGUCUGGCUAGAGUCCGGAAGGGGCGAGUGGAAUUCCUGGUGUAGCGGUGAAAUGCGCAGAUAUCAGGAGGAACACCAAUGGCGAAGGCAGCUCGCUGGGACGGUACUGACGCUGAGGCGCGAAAGCGUGGGGAGCGAACAGG
rnacentral:rRNA from 1 species